GCUUUCUCUUCCUCUCUUCCGUUCCUCACUGUACUCCUCUGCCAACCCUUUCAUUCCCCAUCGCGAAAUCCAGGGAGCAGCAAAACCCUAGCUCCGCCGCCCGCCGGCGACGAGCAGAUGCGACAUGCCGCGGCCGCUGCAGCUGCCGGAUGAGCUCGUGGAGGAGGUGCUCCUCCGCUUGCCGCCGCACGAGCCCGCGGCGCUCGUCUGCAGGCGCUGGUGCCGCCUCGUCUCCGACCCCGGCUUCCGACGCCGCUUCCGCGAGUUCCACCGCGACCUGCGACCGCCUUCUGCACCCGGCGCACUAACUUGUGGGACAUGUUCGUGCUGGAUGCCCGCCACGGCCGUGUCCUCUGUGUGAAAGGCGUCACCAGGGACCCUUCCUCGUUGUUUUUGUGUGCACCAAACAUGGCAACACCAUCGUCCAGACCUACUCAUCCGAUGCUGCUGCCUGGAGUGAACCAAUCUUCUCGGGUCAAAACUACCUCUUUACAUCCCCGAUGGGCAGUGCGCUUGUGGGGAACACUCUCUACUUUGGGAUUCAGAUGCGAAGGAAAGCUCUCAAGUACUAUUUGGAAUUGCGUCAAGUGUCUUAGAUUCAACUACCAUGCCCACAGCGGAUGACUCUGCGGCAGUCUCUGCUUACAACCACAGAGGAUGGUGGACUGGUUCUCAUCGACAAAGAUGACUCUGAAUCUGAACUCUACAUGUGGUCAAGGAAGGAUACUCACGAAGUAGAUGCUAAAUGGGAAAGAAGAGUCAUUGGACUCAAGGAAGUGUUCCCUGUUGAUGUUGACGUAACCAAACUUAAUGUGAAUGGCUCUGGUGUUGGUAUCAUUUUCAUGAGAACGGCCAGACAGGUCUAUACAAUUGAUCUAAAGACCUAUAAGGUGAAGAAGGUAUAUGGGGGCACAGCUUUCAACUUUGUUCCGUACAUGAACUUCUACACUCCAGCAUUGAAAGGCACUUGCAUAGGCGAGGGACCAAGUGCGGGUCAGUCUAGCGCAUGAUAAACUUAAGGUGCAUCAGUGAAAUCUAUGGUUGGGCAGUACUUUGUGCAUCAAUGAGAUUGGUGUUAUCCUUAAUUUCUUGCUCUUCAAGAUGGUGGUUUUUAAGCAGUUGUUUCUCUUAAACUUUUUAGCUUCAUCAUUAACUUCAAUGUGUUAGACUUGUAUGCAAGCUGUGAACCCCUACAUUGUACUACUUGAUCUGUGGCCAUGUGUGCUUCAGUAUUCGCGCUUUGUGAUAAAAUCCUGAAAUGCGCUUACCAUUCCCGCAUUUUAAAAUAUCUAGGUCCAAGAAAAAGACAAUUAUAAAUUCAAAGCAUUGCAAUUUCAUA